CCUUCACACGCUGUCACGAAGAUUUACAGUCAUACAGAACAAAACAAGGACUAUGCAAGCGACUGACUUCAACGUCUAUGUGUAAAAUGAAUUCCAUCAAUGAAGCCUUUGAAAAAAGCGGGCCAUACCCUAGUUUUGCCUGUGGGAAUGUGGUGUACCACAGGAGGUCAGAUGGCAUUCCAUGAUGGAAUUACAUCUCUUACCAAAUUAAGCAGGUCAAAAGUGCUCUUUACCAUCCACAUACAGUAUUUGGCAGACUAGGAACAAGAAAUUCCACUUAAUGUAAUAGCGGUUUGGUUGUGCAUGAACAGCAAAUGCAUCCGGUGCUGUUUUGUUAACAUGCAGGGGCUGCCACUAUCUUCCUUUAGGAUAACAAGGAUGUCAGUUUCCAGCUAAAUAAUCCAGGAACGCAAUGAGGUUGUGACCAUUAGGCUCAAAGCUGUGGAGAAAGAUGUCUGGCCAGGAGACAUACUGAUGUUAUGCUUUACUGAUGUUGUUGCCAACACCUACAAACCAUUCACUAGAACUACCACAACGAACAAUGUACUGAUUAUGCAGCAGAAAAUCUGAGCUACCUUUUUGAAAGAGGCCAAGAGAGGAUUGGAUGGUGGAGUUUCAGAUGACACAAUGCUGACUGUUUCCACCUAGCUGAUUUUGCUUCCUACUGGCAGCAGAAGGAAGUCUUCACUUUUAUUUUAAACAAUUCAGUUUUAAUGCCACCAAUUUGUCAAGAUAACAUGUAACUGAAACGAUUGAAAGUACACCAACUUCCUUCAUUAACACAAACUAUCUAUGUACCUGGACCAUCAGCUUGAACAGUAUACUACUUCAACUACCAUUUCUUCAUAUUCAAACAUUACUAGAAAGGUCUGAAAGGCAAUCAUGCUAUCUUCAGUGAUAAAUGAAGAAUGAUAAACUCCUGUGUUAUAAAUUCUGCUGCAACUUGAGAUCACCAGUAUGUACAGACAUUGCCAAAUUUAUUGCAUUUAUUACUUGUGUCUUAUCAGUGCUCUAUGCAUAGAUAUUGUACUUGAAGUUGACUAUGAUUUUAUUAAGAUGCGAUUUUUCACUCUGUAUUGAUGUUCACAUACUUAUAUUUAUGUUGCUAUACCAGUGCCACUAACAGAUACUCUAGAUUAAUUUGUUUUUAUUUAUUUCUACCACUGUUGUCUAUGAUCAUUUUUAUAUCAUAUAGUUAGUACACUUCAUUAUAUACAAGGCAGUAAAUGUCUAAUUUCCUAUAACAACUCAGCAUUAAGCCUUUUGACAUUUCUGCUUUCAAUUGUCUUUAUAUUUUUCAUUAACAUUUCUUUCUAAGUUUGAAGUCUGAUCACUGUUAAAAAACAGGCUCUACGUUAUGGCUGCCUAGAAAUGUCUUCCAAAUUGACAAUUAUUUAAAAUAACAAUAAACUAAUGCCCUUAUGGAAACAUAGUCCAAACAUUCCUCAACGGCUAUGAAAUUAUUUUUGAACAAACCUUUUUGCAGUUUACAGCCUUUAAAAAAAUAAGAUUUCCCUCCAACCAAAUGCACUGCUUAACCUAUAAAUAAAUGAUGUUUGACAUAUUAUAAUCAUUUUCACUCAUUGCAGGUUUUUCUGCUACAAUGUUAUCGUGUUUUCAUGUGUAUCAUUUAGAUUCAUUGUUUUCACAUUAUAACUUCACUCAAUGAUUCAUUGCUAAUCUCAUUUUAUGUACAUGUCUUCUUGUUCAAUUGUAAAUAAUGACAAAUGCUGCUCAAAAGAGUGUGAUAAUGGAUAUACUCUUCAUGUUAUUUGAUAAUUGUCAGCUGCGGCAUCUUCUACGAAUUGCAUUACUUUUACUUUGCCUCAGAUUUAAUAGUAUGUGUGAUGGUUUUAUGUUGUUGCUAUUAGAACAGGGGUUAUUUUGAUAAGCCAAAUAUCCUGUACAUUAUCAUUUCGCCAAAGUAGUUCAUUAUAGGUUCAUUUAACACUACAGGCUGGUUAAUUGUAAUGGUAAACUAUUUUUCAAUUCUUUUAAAAGAAAUCCAUCCUUUGAUAUAGCCUUCAUCUUACACCAUUAUUUCCUAGAGCUUUACCUUGCACUUCUGUCAUUCAGGCAUGGUUGAAAUACAUUUCAAGGGACUUGACACCAGAUGAUACCAUUGCAAGAUGAAAAAAAAACCUGUCCAAAACUUUAAUGGAAUUUAUAUCUUAGUGUACAUUUUAAUUUUAAUUGAGUUUUUGAACCGAGUAAAUCCCAGUUAUUUAAAAAAAAUAGCUUCUGAGUGUGUCUUGUAAAAAUCACAGGACCCCACAUGCUAUUCUUUAGUGUAUACAUUACACACAUCUGAGACAGGGAUAAAAUAUUAUUUUUUUCAUUUAAAAUAUUGCAUUUUUGACCUCAUACUAGCCCUUAUUCAUAAGUUCAGUCUUGUUUUAAGGAAAAAUUGAACUUGCUGAUAUUGGUACUUUUGGUUCAUCCCCAAUUGAUCCAAUAAACCCUGGUAUAAUAUUGAUAAUUAUGGAGAAAUAAAGACAUACUUUAUAUGUAAUGUUAAUUGGCUCAAUUUCAGACCUAUUCAGAUUAUGAAAUAAAAUACUGCAUUAUGACUUUUAUUAAAUCAUAGACCAACUAUAAAAACGCACAAAAGAGAAUGUUCCUUUUCAUAUACCUUGUUCUUAUUUUUCUGAAAUUGAACUGCUGGUGUUUAGGCAUUGGUCUAUGACAGGUGUGGUUGACUGUUGAUAUGUAAAUUUAACCAGCUACGAUAACAACAUCAUAUGCAUACACCACUGUCAGCAUUUUAACUGCUACAGCUAAUGAAGAACCUCCAAUAGCUAUACUCUUAUAUUAGUUGCCAUUUAUGAAUAAUAUUCAACAUUUUAUUGUUUAAAUCUAUUUUGUUUUACAUUUUUCCUUUGAGAUUCUUAAAAAACAUUUACAACCUAUCAAUA